rnacentral:rRNA from 1 species
CAUCACUACGCUAGAUGCAUAUCAAUAAGCGGAGGAAAAGAAACUAACAAGGAUUCCCUUAGUAACGGCGAGUGAAGCGGGAAGAGCUCAAAUUUGAAAUCUUCAAGGUUUUACCCUUGACGAAUUGUAGUUUAAAGAAGUGUUUUCUGCUGAAGUUUUGGUAAAAGUUCUUUGGAAUAGGACAUCAUAGAGGGUGAGAAUCCCGUAUUUGACCAUUAUUUUCAGCUUUGUGAUACACUUUCAAAGAGUCGGAUUGUUUGGGAAUGCAGUCCAAAAUGGGUGGUAAAUUUCAUCUAAAGCUAAAUAUUGGCGAGAGACCGAUAGCGAACAAGUACCGUGAGGGAAAGAUGGAAAGAACUUUGAAAAGAGAGUUAAACAGUACGUGAAAUUGUCAAAAGGGAAGCGUUUGACACCAGUGUUGUUUUUCUGAAAAUCAAUUAAAGAACUGUUUAUGCUAAGUUUGUUUAUAGACUUUAUCAGCUAACUGUUUAGUUUUGAGCUUUUCUUUAAUGCACUUUUCAGUUAACAAGUCAACAUCAAUUUCUUUUGUUGUAAAAGAGUCAUUGGAAGGUAGCUUUCAUUUCGGUGAAAGUGUUUAUAGCCUUUGACUUCUGCAAUCGGAGAGAUUGAGGUCUGCAGCGUAGAUCCUUCGGGGUUAGAUACAUUUGUGCUAAGUUAUAGUUUUUCAUAGACAACAUGUUGACUAUGAUCAAUCCUGUAGCUUACUCGCUUAUGGCUAUUUUACCUACGCUUAGGAUGUUGACACACGCGCGUGCUCG